UACGUAGGGUGCAAGCGUUGUCCGGAAUUAUUGGGCGUAAAGAGCUCGUAGGCGGUCUGUCGCGUCUGCUGUGAAAACUCGGGGCUUAACCCCGGGCCUGCAGUGGGUACGGGCAGACUAGAGUGCGGUAGGGGAGACUGGAAUUCCUGGUGUAGCGGUGAAAUGCGUAGAUAUCCGGAGGAACACCAAUGGCGAAGGCAGUGUCCUGGGAAGUACCUGACGCUCAGGUGCGAAAGCUAGGGGAGCGAACAGG
rnacentral:rRNA from 1 species